GGACUGAGACACGGCCCAGACUCCUACGGGAGGCAGCAGUGGGGAAUAUUGCACAAUGGGCGGAAGCCUGAUGCAGCAACGCCGCGUGAGGGAUGACGGCCUUCGGGUUGUAAACCUCUUUUAGCAAGGAAGAAGCGAAAGUGACGGUACUUGCAGAAAAAGCGCCGGCUAACUACGUGCCAGCAGCCGCGGUAAUACGUAGGGCGCAAGCGUUAUCCGGAAUUAUUGGGCGUAAAGAGCUCGUAGGCGGUUUGUCGCGUCUGCUGUGAAAUCCCGAGGCUCAACCUCGGGCCUGCAGUGGGUACGGGCAGACUAGAGUGCGGUAGGGGAGAUUGGAAUUCCUGGUGUAGCGGUGGAAUGCGCAGAUAUCAGGAGGAACACCGAUGGCGAAGGCAGAUCUCUGGGCCGUAACUGACGCUGAGGAGCGAAAGGGUGGGGAGCAAACAGGCUUAGAUACCCUGGUAGUCCACCCCGUAAACGUUGGGAACUAGUUGUGGGGUCCAUUCCACGGAUUCCGUGACGCAGCUAACGCAUUAAGUUCCCCGCCUGGGGAGUACGGCCGCAAGGCUAAAACUCAAAGGAAUUGACGGGGACCCGCACAAGCGGCGGAGCAUGCGGAUUAAUUCGAUGCAACGCGAAGAACCUUACCAAGGCUUGACAUACACCGGAAAAGUGCAGAGAUGUGCUCCCCGUAAGGUCGGUGUACAGGUGGUGCAUGGUUGUCGUCAGCUCGUGUCGUGAGAUGUUGGGUUAAGUCCCGCAACGAGCGCAACCCUCGUCCCAUGUUGCCAGCGGGUUAUGCCGGGGACUCAUGGGAGACUGCCGGGGUCAACUCGGAG
rnacentral:rRNA from 1 species